GGGUGUUUGGGGCCUCGGAGGCCGGCGCCCCUGUAUUGUGCUGGGGGAGGGACUGGCCAUUUGAAGUCAAGCCCAGUGAGACAGUGGAGGAGAGGGGUCAUGCCACUGCAGUUCCUCGCUAUGCCAUUCAUACAGAGCAUUCUCCAUGCUCAGGAGUCCAGGAGUCCAGUGGGCCCAUGAUGCCCAGGAGCUCGUCGAGACUCAGGGAGGUGCGGAAGACCUACUUAAAACCUGAGAGUCUCGAAUAGGAGAGGCGCUUUCAGAUCAGCCCGAGUCUUCUGCAGCGCACAGGAGCUAGUCGUACUGAAAAGAAUGAAGUUGGACUUGUCCAGGCGAGUUUCGGACAGUGCUGGGCUGCCCUGCUCUGAUCUCCUGGGUGUCUUCACCUCCUCUGGUUCCUAAGUCGGCUGCUGCACCAGCACCCAUCAAACUCUCCUGGAAGAGGAAGUGACAGCUCACCGGUAGCCUAGAAGGCCCCUGUGGGCAGAAGCAUGGACUUACUCCUCCUCAUGGAGAUGCGGCUGAGCCAUAUUUCCUUGGCACCUCUCUGGAACCUUCGACAACCACCACCUCAGACACUAACCAGACUUUAGGUCCAUUCCUUUCAUGGCUAAAAUGAGACAGUCCACAAUGUUGAUUUUAUUUGUAGGGGAUGUCAGGAUUCCAGAAAAGCAGACUUGGAAAGCAACAAAACGUUAACUUGCAGCUCACUGAGGCCCUUACACUUGUUCUGGGCACCUCUGUAUGUUAAAAGAAGUCCAAUAUCUUUAGCUGCUGGUUAUAGGUGGCCAUAUGUUUCUGCACAGAAAUGGGGCUCCCCUUGCUAGACUAAUUUUCUAAUUUUUCCUCAAGCUUCAUUGAUUCAUAUUCUUCUACUUGACCCUGACUGUCAGGACCAACAACACCAAAUAACACCAAAGUCUCUUGCUCCUGUCCUCAGAACCUCUCAGAGGCAUCCUCUGCCCUGUUGGAGCCAUUUUAUUUCAGGUUGAUCCUUAAUUAAAUUCAGCGAGAUGCA
ensembl:lncRNA LINC02036 long intergenic non-protein coding RNA 2036